rnacentral:piRNA from 1 species
UGGUGGAUCCUCCUCAAGCUUCUACUCACA